rnacentral:rRNA from 1 species
AUCUGUUUCCUACCAACCUGAACUCGCCAAUUCCGCCUGAUCUCAGAAGCUAAGCAGGGUCAGGCCCGGUUAGUACUUGAAUGGGAGACCAUCUGGCAAUACUGGGUGCUGUAGAGG